rnacentral:tRNA from 4 species
AAAAAAGCCGGAAUAGCUCAGUUGGUAGAGCAGAGGACUGAAA